rnacentral:misc_RNA from 1 species
UCUCCGUUGGUGAACCAGCGGAGGGAUCAUUACCGAGUUUACAACUCCCAAACCCCAUGUGAACCAUACCAAACUGUUGCCUCGGCGGGGUCACGCCCCGGGUGCGUCGCAGCCCCGGAACCAGGCGCCCGCCGGAGGGACCAACCAAACUCUUUCUGUAGUCCCCUCGCGGACGUUAUUUCUUACAGCUCUGAGCAAAAAUUCAAAAUGAAUCAAAACUUUCAACAACGGAUCUCUUGGUUCUG